rnacentral:rRNA from 1 species
GGGGAUAAUUCUUGAUAGAUCACAUAUGUUGGAGGGCUUAUGGAUUUAAAGAUCCGUCGCCCCGGGAUGGGUCUGCGGCCUAUCAGGUUGUAGUGGGUCUAGAGUACCUACUAGCCAACGACGGGUACGGGUUGUGAGAACAAGAGCCCGGAGAUGGAUUCUGAGACAUUAAUCCAGGCCCUACGGGGCGCAGCAGGCGCGAAACCUUUACACUGCGGGAAACCGCGAUAAGGGGACACCGAGUGCCAGCAUACAAUGCUGGCUGUCCACAUGUGUAAAUAGCAUGUGAUAGCAAGGGCCGGGCAAGACCGGUGCCAGCCGGCGCGGUAACACCGGCGGCCCGAGUGGUAAUCACUAUUAUUGGGUCUAAAGGGUCCGUAGCCGGUUUAAUCAGUCUUCCGGGAAACCUGACAGCUCAACUGUUAGGCUACCGGGGGAUACUGUUAGACUUGGGACCGGGAGAGGUAAGAGGUACUACAGGGGUAGGAGUGAAAUCUUGUAAUCCCUGUGGGACCACCAGUGGCGAGGGCGUCUUACCAGAACGAGUCCGACGGUGAGGGACGAAAGCUGGGGGCACGAACCGGAUUAGGUACCCGGGUAGUCCCAGCCGUAAACGAUGCUCGCUAGGUGUCUGGAAUGGUGCGACCGUUUCAGGUGCCGCAGGGAAGCCGUGAAGCAAGCCACCUGGGAAGUACGGCCGCAAGGCUGAAACUUAAAGGAAUUGGCGGGGGAGCAC